ensembl:snRNA U1 U1 spliceosomal RNA
AUACUCACCUGGCAGGGGAGAAACCAUGAUCACAAAGAUGGCACUCCCAGUGUGAGGCUUAUCUGUUGCACUCCGAGUAUGCUAACCUUUCAGUUGCCCCAAAUGUGGAAAACUCCACUGCAUAAUUUGUGGUAGAUGGAGACAGCAUUCACACUCUCCCCUG